rnacentral:rRNA from 1 species
AGUGAACGCUGGCGGUAGGCCUAACACAUGCAAGUCGAACGGCAGCACAGUAAGAGCUUGCUCUUACGGGUGGCGAGUGGCGGACGGGUGAGGAAUACAUCGGAAUCUACUUUUUCGUGGGGGAUAACGUAGGGAAACUUACGCUAAUACCGCAUACGACCUACGGGUGAAAGCAGGGGAUCUUCGUACCUUGCGCGAUUGAAUGAGCCGAUGUCGGAUUAGCUAGUUGGCGGGGUAAUGGCCCACCAAGGCGACGAUCCGUAGCUGGUCUGAGAGGAUGAUCAGCCACACUGGAAGUGAGACACGGUCCAGACCCCUACGGGAGGCAGCAGUGGGGAAUAUUGGACAAUGGGCGCAAGCCUGAUCCAGCCAUACCGCGUGGGUGAAGAAGGCCUUCGGGUUGUAAAGCCCUUUUGUUGGGAAAGAAAAGCAGCAGGUUAAUACCCCGCUGUUCUGACGGUACCCAAAGAAUAAGCACCGGCUAACUUCGUG